GAUGAACGCCUUCCGCUUUCCUCCUCCCUUCCCUUCGAUCUCCCAUACGAGGAGCUUUCUCCUCUUACGUUAGCGGCGGACGGGUGAGUAACACGUGGAUAACCUACCUAUAAGACUGGGAUAACUUCGGGAAACCGGAGCUAAUACCGGAUAAUAUAUUGAACCGCAUGGUUCAAUAGUGAAAGACGGUUUUGCUGUCACUUAUAGAUGGAUCCGCGCCGCAUUAGCUAGUUGGUAAGGUAACGGCUUACCAAGGCCACGAUGCGUAGCCGACCUGAGAGGGUGAGAGGCCACACUGGAACUGAGACACGGUCCAGACUCCUACGGGAGGCAGCAGUAGGGAAUCUUCCGCAAUGGGCGAAAGCCUGACGGAGCAACGCCGCGUGAGUGAUGAAGGUCUUCGGAUCGUAAAAAGAUGGGAUUAGGGAAGAACAAAUGUGUAAGUAACUAUGCACGUCUUGACGGUACCUAAUCAGAAAGCAAAGGAGAACUACGGG
rnacentral:rRNA from 1 species